UGAAUCCUACGGGACGCAGCAGUGAGGAAUAUUGGUCAAUGGCCGGAAGGCUGAACCAGCCAAGCCACGUGAAGGACGAAGGUGCCAAGCAUUGUAAACUUCUUUUGUCAAGGGACAAAAUCAGGCUCGAGAGCCUGACCGAGGGUACUUGAAGAAAAAGCAUCGGCUAACUCCGUGCCAGCAGCCGCGGUAAUACGGAGGAUGCGAGCGUUAUACGGAUUUAUUGGGUUUAAAGGGGGCGUAGGCGGACUGUUAAGUCAGCGGUAAAAGCCCGGGG
rnacentral:rRNA from 1 species